CCCUUAGAUGUUCUGGGCUGCACGCGCGCUACACUGAAGCUAUCAACACGUUUUCCCUCCCUGAGAAGGGCGGGUAACCUUUUGAAUCAGCUUCGUGGUAGGGAUCGGGGCUUGCAAUUGUUCCCCGUGAACCAGGAAUUCCUAGUAGACGCGAGUCAUAAGCUCGCAUCGAUUAAGUCCCUGCCCUUUGUACACACCGCCCGUCGCUACUACCGAGUGAACGUUUUAGUGAGGCAUUUGGACCGACGCAUCUCAGUUUAACCGCUGGUUUGUGUUGGAAAGACUUCCAAACUUGAGCGUUUAGAGGAAGUAAAAGUCGUAACA
rnacentral:rRNA from 1 species